AAGGUUUUAUGUUAAUAAAACAAAUAGCCUUCAAAGCUAUAAAUAUAAGGAUUAUCUUAUAAGCCUUA
rnacentral:tRNA from 1 species